AGUGAACGCUGGCGGUAGGCCUAACACAUGCAAGUCGAACGGCAGCACAGUAAGAGCUUGCUCUUACGGGUGCCGAGUGGCGGACGGGUGAGGAAUACAUCGGAAUCUACUUUUUCGUGGGGGAUAACGUAGGGAAACUUACGCUAAUACCGCAUACGACCUACGGGUGAAAGCAGGGGAUCUUCGGACCUUGCGCGAUUGAAUGAGCCGAUGUCGGAUUAGCUAGUUGGCGGGGUAAAGGCCCACCAAGGCGACGAUCCGUAGCUGGUCUGAGAGGAUGAUCAGCCACACUGGAACUGAGACACGGUCCAGACUCCUACGGGAGGCAGCAGUGGGGAAUAUUGGACAAUGGGCGCAAGCCUGAUCCAGCCAUACCGCGUGGGUGAAGAAGGCCUUCGGGUUGUAAAGCCCUUUUGUUGGGAAAGAAAAGCAGCAGGUUAAUACCCCGCUGUUCUGACGGUACCAAAAGAAUAAGCACCGGCUAACUUCGUG
rnacentral:rRNA from 1 species